rnacentral:rRNA from 1 species
GACGAACCGUGCGAACGUUAUUCGGAAUCACUGGGCUUAAAGGGCGCGUAGACGGGCGACCGCGUCGAUGGCUGAAAGCCCCCGGCUCAACCGGGGAACGGGCCUCGAUACGGGUUGCCUCGAGUGGAGGAGGGGGACCUGGAACUGCCGGUGGAGCGGUGAAAUGCGUUGAGAUCGGCAGGAACGCCUGUGGCGAAAGCGGGGUCCUGGACUCUUACUGACGUUGAGGCGCGAAAGCCAGGGGAGCGAACGGG